CUCCUUUCAGGAUGGCAUCUGGAGAGUUUCCAGUACUCUACCAGUUACGACUACGGGAGGGAGAGUCGAGCAGAGGCAUACCCAUUCCAUUCCUAGCUUAGCCAGUGGCUAGCCAGCGGAAGGCAAUCUGCUUCAAAU